rnacentral:rRNA from 1 species
UACGUAGGGGCAAGCGUUGUCCGGAUUUAUUGGCGUAAAGAGCUCGUAGGCGGUCUGUUGCGUCCGCUGUGAAAACUCGGGGCUUAACCCCGAGCCUGCAGUGGAUACGGGCAGACUAGAGGUAGGUAGGGGAGAAUGGAAUUCCGGUGUAGCGGUGAAAUGCGCAGAUAUCGGGAGGAACACCGGUGGCGAAGGCGGUUCACUGGGCCUUACCUGA